ensembl:lncRNA SEMA5A-AS1 SEMA5A antisense RNA 1
AGUUCACACUCCCUUAAGUUAAAGAGAUACAUUCUUUUUACAACAGAGCCUUAUGUUUUCAUCUGGCUAAUUCAGAAGAUAUCUUGUUCUCUUUUGACCAGAGACAAAAGAAGAAAAGUCUUGGAAACAUCCUUCACAGUUUGGGGAUGAAUGAAGGCAGAGAAGGAACCAGUGUGAAGAGACACGACAGUUUGUGUGGAGAAAGGGGUUGACCAUUUACAAGGAGAGAGCCAUUUCCUAAGACGUUGCUUCAUCAAAGCAUCCUGGAACCCCAGAAGAGGGAAGAGUAUCAAACCGCAUCUGUGUGCAAGAAGCCUGGCUCCCCUCCCCAUGCAACUGGAAGACCAAUGAGAAUCAGAAAAGCAGUGACCACGGGCCAUCCUGGAGCCACAUGGGGGCAGCGUCUUCUGGGACACAGGGGAAGCACUGAGAGGCAUUUAGGAACCAGGGAUCCAUGGUCAUUCUUACUUAAAGAACACACCCAUUAUUUACAUCCUAUCCCAAUGGUGGCAAAAUAAUACCACUGAGCUGAAAAGGAUCUCUACAUUCUACCAAAUCCUGUUAUUCUCACAUGGGCUUCUUCAAAAGUAUAGAAGGUUGUCAAUGUGAACACAGUGCACUUCAUGACUAUCAUAUCAAUCCCUGAGUGUUUACUUUCUUCUCAGUGACAUUAACACUGGAACAUCCAUGUCAAGGAAGUACGAUCUGUUCUUUUCAAACUAAAACAUGUCCAGUCCGGAGUGGGUGGGAGCAAGCCCACCUUGUGGCCACUACUGAACUACCAAAACUCCAACAGAGAAACCAAUUCUGUGAAGCCUAUGGGGAAUGCCACAUUUUUUCUAAAGAACCAUAAAUUAAGUUUAAAUUCAUGUGGUCUGUUCACUAAAUGUCUUUGCAGAAGGAAAAGGGAAUUGGCUCCAAGGAUUGCAGUUGCUCUGAAAGUGCAUGUGGCAUCAAUACUCACUUCUCUAAGUGGGGUCCCAGGACCUGUGGCAUCAGUAUUAUCUGGAAACAGAAAUGCAGACUCUCAGGUUCCACCUCAGAACCCCUGGACCAGCUUCUGCAUCUCCACAGAAUCCCCAGGUCCUCUGUGCCUUUAGGUUGGAGAAUCAGUGGAAUAAACACCAGGAGUGCAAACAAGAUCAAAGAAGUUACCUGUUGUAGUUCACUUUUUCAAAUAAUUGACUGAAAUUAAUUUUUAUAAUUAAUGAAGCUAGUGAUGAUUUGGAAUCCCUUGACUAAGAGAAGGGUUUUAAUGUAAUUAAUCUGCAAAAUGAUCAGUUUUUGUGCAUCACUAAACCUAUGAAGUUUAUAAAGAUUAUUUUCCUAGCUGGUUAUGAAGAAAAUAAUGUCACAAAAGCAUCUAAGGGCUGUGCCUUACCAAUGAGCCGACCCUCUCCAGUCUGCUUUCCUGUAAUCAUAGUGACUCAAUUUCUAGACUUAGAAAGAAAAAACACAGAAAACUAACAUAGAGGAUUGUUCUCCCUUCUGGUCACGGUUUAUGGUAGCAACAGGUGAAAAAGGCCAACAGAAGCAACGAUUUGCCUCAUCACAUUAAAAGAAACAUUUGCUUUCUCUUCCAAAAGCGUAAGUAGUAACUAUGGAAACCAGACAAAAACGUUGAAAAUGACUUGCAAUUCACAAAGAGCAGAACAACUCUAUUUCACCCACCAAAAAAC